UAAUACGGGGGGGGCAAGCGUUGUUCGGAAUUACUGGGCGUAAAGGGCUCGUAGGCGGCCAACUAAGUCGGAUGUGAAAUCCCCAGGCUUAACCUGGGAACUGCAUCCGAUACUGGAUGGCUUGAAUCCGGGAGAGGGAUGCAGAAUUCCAGGUGUAGCGGUGAAAUGCGUAGAUAUCUGGAGGAAUACCGGUGGCGAAGGCGGCAUCCUGGACCGGCAUUGACGCUGAGUGAGCGAAAGCCAGGGGAGCAAACGGGA
rnacentral:rRNA from 1 species